rnacentral:rRNA from 1 species
AAAUGAAUUGACGGGGGCCCGCACAAGCGGUGGAGCAUGUGGUUUAAUUCGACGCAACGCGAAGAACCUUACCAGGAUUUGACAUCCUCUGCUAUCGCAAGAGAUUGCGAAUUUAAUCUUCGGAUUAACAGAGAGACAGGUGGUGCAUGGUUGUCGUCAGCUCGUGUCGUGAGAUGUUGGGUUAAGUCCCGCAACGAGCGCAACCCUUAUUCUUAGUUGCCAGCACAUUAAGGUGGGCACUCUAAGGAGACUGCCGGUGACAAACCGGAGGAAGGUGGGGAUGACGUCAAAUCAUCAUGCCCUUUAUGUCCUGGGCUACACACGUGCUACAAUGGCCUGUACAGAGGGAUGCGAAGCCGUGAGGUGGAGCCAAUCCCCCAAAGCAGGUCUUAGUUCGGAUUGUAGGCUGCAACUCGCCUACAUGAAGCAGGAAUCGCUAGUAAUCGUGGAUCAGCAUGCCGCGGUGAAUACGUUCCCGGGCCUUGUACACACCGCCCGU